ensembl:lncRNA
GGGGAAGAUCCCCUGGAGGAGGGCAUGGCAACCCACUCCAGUACUCUUGCCUGGAGAAUCUCAUGGAUGGAGAAGCACUGUGUAGUCAAAGCACUGUGGCCAUGCAGAACAACUGCCCUUGAAGAAACCCAUAAAUCCUUGACGUGGACUUUGCUGAGAACACUCUAACUCCACACAGAAAACCUCUUCCCUCAAAGACACCAAGGCCAUGUGCUAUAAUGAAUUGUCCCUUGCUCCCUCAAGCAGACUUGGAGAUCUUUCAAGUUCCACGCAGAGGGGAUCAUCUGUCACACCACCCCAGCAUGCACCAUAUCCUCACCCGCAAGAGGCUUUUUCCCUGAACUGUGGGUAAAUAAUGAAAGGUAUAGAAGAGGAAGAAGAGAAAACCAGGAGGACACAGCUGUUGUGGGUUGCCAUUGGGAAGGCACUAUUUGAUGUUUAGCGAU